CCCUUAGACGUUCUGGGCCGCACGCGCGCUACACUGACGAAGGCAACGAGCUUUCCUUUACCGAAAGGUACGGGUAAUCUUUUGAAACUUCGUCGUGCUGGGGAUAGAUCCUUGCAAUUUUUGAUCUUAAACGAGGAAUGCCUAGUAAGCGCAAGUCAUCAACUUGCGUUGAUUACGUCCCUGCCCUUUGUACACACCGCCCGUCGCUACCACCGAUUGAAUGGUUUAGUGAGGCCUUCGGAUCCGCGACUCGUUUGUGGAGAAGUUGGACAAACUCAGUCAUUUAGAGGAAGUAAAAGUCGUAACA
rnacentral:rRNA from 1 species